rnacentral:misc_RNA from 1 species
UUUCCGUAGGUGAACCAGCGGAAGGAUCAUUAUCGUACAAAAUGUGAGGGGCAUGCGAGGGCUGUCGCUGACCCAAAAGUCGUGCACGCCCGAGUGUGUCCUCUUGCAUAAUAAUCCAUCUCACCCUUUGUGCAUCACCGCGUGGGCACCCUUCGGGAUCAUCUCGGAGGGGGGCUCACGUUUUCACACAAACCCCCCUUUUAAAAGUGUAGAAUGACCACAUUUAUGCAAUCAAUACAACUUUCAACAACGGAUCUCUUGGCUCUC